GUGGGGAAUAUUGCACAAUGGGCGCAAGCCUGAUGCAGCAACGCCGCGUGAGGGAUGACGGCCUUCGGGUUGUAAACCUCUUUUAGUAGGGAAGAAGCGAAAGUGACGGUACCUGCAGAAAAAGCACCGGCUAACUACGUGCCAGCAGCCGCGGUAAUACGUAGGGUGCAAGCGUUGUCCGGAAUUAUUGGGCGUAAAGAGCUCGUAGGCGGCUUGUCGCGUCUGCUGUGAAAUCCCGGGGCUCAACCCCGGGCCUGCAGUGGGUACGGGCAGGCUAGAGUGCGGUAGGGGAGAUUGGAAUUCCUGGUGUAGCGGUGGAAUGCGCAGAUAUCAGGAGGAACACCGAUGGCGAAGGCAGAUCUCUGGGCCGCUACUGACGCUGAGGAGCGAAAGCAUGGGGAGCAAAAGGGAUUAGAUACCCUUGUAGUCC
rnacentral:rRNA from 1 species